rnacentral:rRNA from 1 species
GUAGGGAAUAUUGGGCAAUGGGCGCAAGCCUGACCCAGCCAUGCCGCGUGAGGGAAGAAGGCCCACUGGGUUGUAAACCUCUUUUCACCGGGAAUAAAGCUUUUAUAACUUAAGAGUGUGAAUGUACCGGUGGAAUAAGCACCGGCAAACUACGUGCCAGCAGCCGCGGUAAUACGUAGGGUGCAAGCGUUGUCCGGAUUUACUGGGUUUAAAGGGUGCGCAGGCGGGCUAUUAAGUCUGUGAUGAAAUGUCAGGGCUCAACCUUGGCGCUGUUGCGGAAACUAAUAGUCUUGAGAUCUGUUGAGGUAGCUGGAAUGAGGGGUGUAGCGGUGAAAUGCGUAGAGAUCACUCGGAACACCGAUUGCGAAGGCAGGUUACUAAGCAGCAUCUGACGCUCAGGCACGAAAGCGUGGGUAGCAAACAGUAUUAGAAACCCUGGUAGUCC